ACGCUGGCGGCAGGCCUAACACAUGCAAGUCGAGCGGAUGAAGAGAGCUUGCUCUCUGAUUCAGCGGCGGACGGGUGAGUAAUGCCUAGGAAUCUGCCUGGUAGUGGGGGACAACGUUUCGAAAGGAACGCUAAUACCGCAUACGUCCUACGGGAGAAAGCAGGGGACCUUCGGGCCUUGCGCUAUCAGAUGAGCCUAGGUCGGAUUAGCUAGUUGGUGAGGUAAAGGCUCACCAAGGCGACGAUCCGUAACUGGUCUGAGAGGAUGAUCAGUCACACUGGAACUGAGACACGGUCCAGACUCCUACGGGAGGCAGCAGUGGGGAAUAUUGGACAAUGGGCGAAAGCCUGAUCCAGCCAUGCCGCGUGUGUGAAGAAGGUCUUCUGAUUGUAAAGCACUUUAAGUUGGGAGGAAGGGCAUUAACCUAAUACUUUAGUGUUUUGACCUUACCUACAGAAUAAGCACCGGCUAACUUCUUGCCAGCAGCCGCGGUAAUACCAAAGGUGCAAGCCUUAAUCGGAAUUACCGGGCGUAAAGCGCUCGUAAGUGGUUUGUUAAGUUGAAUGUGAAAGCCCCGGGCUCAACCUGGGAACUGCAUCCCAAACUGGCAAGC
rnacentral:rRNA from 1 species